CAGCAGCCGCGGUAAUACGAAGGGGGCUAGCGUUGCUCGGAAUUACUGGGCGUAAAGGGAGCGUAGGCGGACAUUUAAGUCAGGGGUGAAAUCCCAGAGCUCAACUCUGGAACUGCCUUUGAUACUGGGUGUCUUGAGUGUGAUAGAGGUAUGUGGAACUCCGAGUGUAGAGGUGAAAUUCGUAGAUAUUCGGAAGAACACCAGUGGCGAAGGCGACAUACUGGAUCAUUACUGACGCUGAGGCUCGAAAGCGUGGGGAGCAAACAGGAUUAGAUACCCGGGUAGUCCCUGUCUCUUAUAC
rnacentral:rRNA from 1 species